rnacentral:lncRNA from 1 species
CUCUCUCUCUCUCUCUCUCUCUCUCUCUCUCUCUCUCUAAAUAACUCUAUUUUUCCCUAAUUCAGGUGAUGGACGGGCUUUGGAGUCAGACACCUUAAAAGCCUCUGACUGUUAAAGAAGCUUACCACCUCUGAAUGGCUCUCAACACCCACGGGCAUGGAAGCAAACCCAGCCAGAGUUUCUCUACACUGACGAAAUGCGUAAACAAUUGCCUGGAAUCAUCAUGACUAUCGGUGACCAGAUCCCAGCCCCAAGAAGAGCAGCUUAGGGCUUAUGGCAUAGGAUACGAUGCUUUCUGCAGUGAGGUUGACAGGGUCUACAGAGGUUUUGUUCUUCGGAUGUUUCUGCCUACGCGAACAUAGUGGAAGCUUACCUUGUCUAGACCUUGGGUGACUGUAGGGUGACAUGUACUGGUCUCGCCCGACAGCACCUCCCACAGAAGCAGUCAUCGGAGAGGAAGCUGGUAGCCUUCCACACACUUACCUCCCCUGCAGAGACACCAUGGGGAUUCCCUGGCAAGGCAGGAGCCUCUGUGGCCUGUUCUGGGUCUUCCGAGCCUUUCACUUCUUUGGGCUGGCUGUUCACCGGCACGCUUUCUCUUCCUUUGUCCAGUUUAAAGAAUCUGUUCAAAAAGCCGAAAUCCUUGUCCUGGGCGGGGGCUUCUGCCUGGGACUCAGGUGGCGCUGCGCUUGGGCUGACAUCAAACCUCCCCGAUGCAGCCGAUGAAUCCGUGCCUUGGUCCCCGGGACGUCCUGGUACAGGCCGAGAGAGUGUCAAGAAAAAAUGGGAUCUAGCAGCUGGUGCCUUGGUCUUGGCUUCUUUCCCAAGAUUCUUUCCGCUGGCAUCGCCCACAGCCUGGGCCUCCAUUGUCUUGGGGGAAGAAGUAGCCACAUUAUCCUUGGAGCUGCUGAUUCCCAAGUCGACUGUAAACACAAACAUAAACAGAGGUCAUUCAACAAGCCAGGAAAUUCAAGGGUGAAUAAUGGACUCCAACUUUUGAUACACAACGUCCCUUCUGCAGACUGGGGCGGCCUUGUUCCCUGCUGUCAGUCCAGUAGACACCUCCUGACCCUGCUCUUCCUGGAAGAGAGACCCUCUGAGGCUAAUGAGGCAGAAAAGCCAAGGACUGGGAAGUCACUACCUGUCAGGCACCACGUGAGUGACACCCAAUGUCCACUGUCAUCUUCUACUUCCUUGGGAUCCAGAGAAGUAUAUACUUAAUUUUUUUCCAAUAGAAAUCGUGGUGUGUUUGUU